rnacentral:rRNA from 1 species
UGUUGACCUCGGAUCAGGUAGGAAUACCCGCUGAACUUAAGCAUAUCAAUAAGCGGAGGAAAAGAAACCAACAGGGAUUGCCCUAGUAACGGCGAGUGAAGCGGCAACAGCUCAAAUUUGAAAUCUGGCUCUCGGGCCCGAGUUGUAAUUUGUAGAGGAUACUUUUGAUGCGGUGCCUUCCGAGUUCCCUGGAACGGGACGCCAUAGAGGGUGAGAGCCCCGUCUGGUUGGAUGCCAAAUCUCUGUAAAGUUCCUUCGACGAGUCGAGUAGUUUGGGAAUGCUGCUCUAAAUGGGAGGUAUAUGUCUUCUAAAGCUAAAUACCGGCCAGAGACCGAUAGCGCACAAGUAGAGUGAUCGAAAGAUGAAAAGCACUUUGAAAAGAGAGUUAAAAAGUACGUGAAAUUGUUGAAAGGGAAGCGUUUAUGACCAGACUUGGGCUUGGUUAAUCAUCUGGGGUUCUCCCCAGUGCACUUUUCCAGUCCAGGCCAGCAUCAGUUUUCCCCGGGGGAUAAAGACUUCGGGAAUGUGGCUCUCUUCGGGGAGUGUUAUAGCCCGUUGUGUAAUACCCUGGGGGGGACUG